UACGUAGGGUGCGAGCGUUAAUCGGAAUUACUGGGCGUAAAGCGUGCGCAGGCGGUUUUGUAAGCCAGAUGUGAAAGCCCCGGGCUUAACCUGGGAAUGGCAUUUGGGACUGCAAGGCUUGAGUGCGGCAGAGGAGACUGGAAUUCCUGGUGUAGCAGUGAAAUGCGUAGAUAUCAGGAGGAAUACCGAUGGCGAAGGCGGUUCUCUGGGACGGUACUGACGCUGAGACGCGAAAGCGUGGGGAGCGAACAGG
rnacentral:rRNA from 1 species